rfam:Anoxybacillus sp. B7M1, complete genome.
AUAAAAAAAUCCCUGCAGUUUUCCUGCAGGGCCUUUUAUGCUUAAUGGUUCCUGCGCAUCGAAAAGGAACGCAUAAGCUAAAGGAAAAGGGAGAGGAGAAACCGGAGGAAGAACUUAUGGGGAAACGUAAGUCUUCUCCGUGA